UACGGGGGGAGCAAGCGUUGUUCGGAAUUACUGGGCGUAAAGGGCUCGUAGGCGGCCAACUAAGUCAUACGUGAAAUCCCUCAGCUUAACUGGGGAACUGCGUGUGAUACUGGAUGGCUUGGAUUUGGGAGAGGGAUGCGGAAUUCCAGGUGUAGCGGUGAAAUGCGUAGAUAUCUGGAGGAACACCGGUGGCGAAGGCGGCAUCCUGGACCGGCAUUGACGCUGAGGCGCGAAAGCCAGGGGAGCAAACGGG
rnacentral:rRNA from 1 species